UACGUAGGGUGCAAGCGUUUAAUCGGAAUUACUGGGCGUAAAGCGUGCGCAGGCGGCUUUGCAGGACAGAUGUGAAAUCCCCGGGCUUAACCUGGGAACUGCAUUUGUGACUGCAUGGCUGGAGUGCGGCAGAGGGGGAUGGAAUUCCGCGUGUAGCAGUGAAAUGCGUAGAUAUGCGGAGGAACACCGAUGGCGAAGGCAAUCCCCUGGGCCUGCACUGACGCUCAUGCACGAAAGCGUGGGGAGCAAACAGG
rnacentral:rRNA from 1 species